rnacentral:rRNA from 1 species
UACAGAGGGUGCUAGCGUUGUUCGGAAUCAUUGGGCGUAAAGGGCGUGUAGGCGGUUUGUUAAGUCAUGUGUGAAAUCCCUCGGCUCAACCGGGGAACGACGCAUGAAACUGGCAAGCUAGAGUACCAAAGAGGGGGGUGGAAUUCCCGGUGUAGCGGUGAAAUGCGCAGAUAUCAGGAGGAACACCAAUGGCGAAGGCAGCUCGCUGGAACGGUACUGACGCUGAGGCGCGAAAGCGUGGGGAGCGAACAGG